rnacentral:rRNA from 1 species
GAUGAACGCUGGCGGCGUGGAUAAGGCAUGCAAGUCGAGAGGGUUUAGACCCUCGGCAAACGGGUUAGUAAUACAUAGUAACAUUCCCAAAAGUCGUGAAUAACUCGGAGAAAUCCGAGAUAAUACACGAUGUGCUCUACGGAGUAAAGAUUUAUCGCUUUUGGAGUGGCCUGUGUCCUAUCAGCUUGUUGGUAGUGUAAAAGACUACCAAGGCUAUGACGGGUAGGGGGUGUGAGAGCACGACCCCCAACAUUGGAACUGAGACACUGUCCAAACACCUACGGGUGGCUGCAGUCGAUAAUAUUCCACAAUGGGCGAAAGCCUGAUGGAGCGACGCCGCGUGCAGGAUGACAGCCUUCGGGUUGUAAACUGCUUUUUUUGGGGACGAAUUUCGUGACGGUACCCAAAGAAUAAGAGGUUAUACGUG